GAGUUUGAUCAUGGCUCAGGACGAACGCUGGCGGCGUGCUUAACACAUGCAAGUCGAGCGGUAAGGCCUUUCGGGGUACACGAGCGGCGAACGGGUGAGUAACACGUGGGUGAUCUGCCCUGCACUUCGGGAUAAGCCUGGGAAACUGGGUCUAAUACCGGAUAUGACCUCAGGUUGCAUGACUUGGGGUGGAAAGAUUUAUCGGUGCAGGAUGGGCCCGCGGCCUAUCAGCUUGUUGGUGGGGUAAUGGCCUACCAAGGCGACGACGGGUAGCCGACCUGAGAGGGUGACCGGCCACACUGGGACUGAGACACGGCCCAGACUCCUACGGGAGGCAGCAGUGGGGAAUAUUGCACAAUGGGCGAAAGCCUGAUGCAGCGACGCCGCGUGAGGGAUGACGGCCUUCGGGUUGUAAACCUCUUUCAGCAGGGACGAAGCGCAAGUGACGGUACCUGCAGAAGAAGCACCGGCUAACUACGUGCCAGCAGCCGCGGUAAUACGUAGGGUGCAAGCGUUGUCCGGAAUUACUGGGCGUAAAGAGUUCGUAGGCGGUUUGUCGCGUCGUUUGUGAAAACCAGCAGCUCAACUGCUGGCUUGCAGGCGAUACGGGCAGACUUGAGUACUGCAGGGGAGACUGGAAUUCCUGGUGUAGCGGUGAAAUGCGCAGAUAUCAGGAGGAACACCGGGGCGAAGGCGGGUCUCUGGCAGAACGACGCGAGAAGAAGCGG
rnacentral:rRNA from 1 species